rnacentral:rRNA from 1 species
AUUGAACGCUGGCGGCAGGCCUAACACAUGCAAGUCGAACGAGUGGCGGACGGGUGAGUAAUGUCUGGGAAACUGCCUGAUGGAGGGGGAUAACUACUGGAAACGGUAGCUAAUACCGCAUACCCUCGGAUGUGCCCAGAUGGGAUUAGCUAGUAGGUGGGGUAAAGGCUCACCUAGUCGACGAUCCCUAGCUGGUCUGAGAGGAUGACCAGCAACACUGGAACUGAGACACGGUCCAGACUCCUACGGGAGGCAGCAGUGGGGAAUAUGGCACAAUGGGCGCAAGCCUGAUGCAGCCAUGACGCGUGGAUGAAGAAGGCCUUAGGGUUGUAAAGGACGUUCAGCGGGGAGGCGUUACCCGCAGAAGAAGCACCGGCUAACUCCGUGCCAGCAGCCGCGGUAAUUC